GACACCGGAAGUCCGGUACUUUACGCAAAACACCCUCAGGAAGCGGGAAAACAGAAAAGUGAGCAGCAGUUGAGGUCCUCCCGUCCGUGAGAUAAAUUGUCCCCCGUGCCCAUCGGCAGCGAAACCCUAGAAUCGAAUCGAGGCGAGGCGGCGACGGAGACAAGCGAAAAGGAAAUCGCGGAGGAGGCGAAGGAAGAGGCAUCAUGUUCCGGCGGGCCGUGGGUUCCCUCCUCGCACGGGGGUUCUCGCCACGUGCGACCCCAAGGACUGCUCCUGCGCGCUCUCUGCACUUCUUGAGCGAUCUCGCCAUCGGUAAUGGCCUUCUUGGUGCUUAUGUUUUUGCCGCGGGUCUGAUGGCUGGUGGUGGUGGGGGUUGGUGAUUCUGCAUUUCAAGCAAGGCGCAGGUGUUGAUGCAUCAGCUGCUGCUGGCAAGCUGAACCACAAGGUCAAGUUUAAGAAGCCGGACAUGAAGCAGAGGUUUGAGAGUUGGAUCAUCGAGCACGAAAAGACAUACCGAGAUGAGGAAGAGAAGGCUAUGCGGUUCGAAUUGUUCAAGGCCGCCCUCUAGAUGAUGGAAUCGCAGCUCCCGUCCGUCGAGGAGAGUGGUGUGCUUCCACAGGUAAGCUGUUUCGCAGACUUUACAGCCGAGGAGAAACGGAAAUUGCUGGCCUUUCCCAACGGAGUUAACAUCACCGAGUACAACGAGAUGGUCAAGUCUGCCUGGGCCAAGCAACAGAAAGGAGAGAUGUAUUGAUAAGGAUGCCAGGCAUGAAGCAGGGCGACAUGCAGGCAACUCAAGGCUCUGCAUAGAAUGCUGUCUGGUUGGUUAAUAAUAUCUGGUGCAAGUCAAAGUGAGUGGCUGGUGUUCUUGGAAACUGCUCUAAGUUUAGUUUGCUGCUAUGUUAAUCUGAACCGUGUGUGGCUGUUGUAGUUAAAAUUAAAAUUAAAUAGCUUGGCACUCCUUUAAAUUUGCUGGAGAUUUCUCUUUUACACGGGAAGAGAAACCUGGAAACUAGGAUAUAAUGAUAUCUUGUUUGUUUGUGCUGAA